rnacentral:rRNA from 1 species
CCUAGCCCAAUGAGACCGAUGGCUGUGCUACUUGAGCUUGUCGCCCUUCCUUCCUCCUUCCCGUCCAUCAGUUCCCCCAUCGAAACAAAAUCAGUCCCCCCACCAAAAGCUAGGGUUAGGGUUAGCGAGGCGGCGGCGGCUUUAUUCCCGAUGCCGAUCGCCAUGGACACCGGAGGCGCGCCGGAGCCGGAUGAGGAGUCCGUCGUCUUCCCCAGAUGGGCGAUGCUGGAUCGCAGAGGCCGCACCCGCUGCCACAACGGCCUAAACGCUGCCCGUGUGGCUGCCAACAAGAACAAGACCGCCGUUCCAGUCCACAUGGACGGCGGCCCCUCCUGCUACGUGACCUUCACCCUCGCGGCUCCUCAAAAAGGGAUCUCCUGCCUCAACCUCCACUUGCCGGAGGAACCUCCACUUACCCCAGCCACCCCGCCCGCCUAUGCCUACGUCCGGGCAACCGACAAGGACCUCGUCCUUUUCGACAUCACCAACCCGAGCCGGUCUUGCUACUGGGACCCCCCGUCAGAUCUGUUCGUCUACACGGCCGGCGGUCCUUCCCCCUCGGUGCAGCCGCUCCCUAUGUACACCAAGGAGAGGGAGAGGCCGUUCCUGAUGGACAACCUCACCACAGGCAUCCUGCGGCUCGCGGAGGACCGCUACAUCGUUGCCGACCUCAAUGUCUACCCCAAAAGAAAGGGCAAUGCCAUGCGUGCCGAACUCUGCGUCUUCAACUCCGAGACUAGAAAGUGGAAAAUCAUCCGCAAAUUGGACCCAGGCAAUGGCGGACAGUUCCCCGAACUCUGGUCAACCGAUAAUGUGCUCGCCUUUGAUGGCCGUUUCCUGUGCUGGAUUGACUACUUCAGCGGUGUCCUGCUAUGUGACUUCUCCACGUCCACUCCAGACUCCUUGGCGCUCCGCUUCGUGCCUUUCCCUGGAGAAAAUAACUUCUCUGAUGAGGUACGUGUUGAAAGGUACUCCCCGGAGAGGUUCCGAAGUGUGUCCAUCACCCAAGGCAUGAUGCGCUUUGUCCACAUUGACAAUGACUACCAUGACAGUCUCCAUGGUGCCUGGCAAUGGCUUAAGCUUCCUGAGAGAAAAAGGAAAGUGCAGCAGCAUCAGCCUUGCAAGAAAAUCACCAUUUGGACUUUGAACCCCAAGUUUGAGUGGGAGCAGCAUUGUGUGAUCAACCUGCAUUAUCUUUGGGCGCAACCUGGUUACAAAGCCCUUGACAUACAUCAGUGUCUCCCCGAGUUCCCGAUCAUGACCGUGGAUGACCCGGAUGUUCUGUGCUGCCUGUUAAGGGAAGAGGAUUAUGGCAAGGGCUGGAUGAUCAUGGUUGACAACCAUGCGCAUCUGCGGUCAUGUACUCCUGAGUCCGAGUCUCUGGGCGUGGAAGCUCAUGAUAACCGGUUUCCUGAUAUCCCCCUACUUCCAACUGUCUUCUGCAAAUACCUUGAAAGCCCAACAGGGGUGGCUUGGAUUGAGCAUAAAAAGCGUAAGCGUAAGCUGAAGUCUGCAAAGGUAAAGGCCUGGAAUCUGGUGACUGGUGUUGAACACUUUGGCGACGCUCAAAUCAAAGAUGCGAUGAAGAUGGUGUACUGAUGAACAUCUAUUAGAGUAAUUGAUACAUGUUCUGGAUCAUGUAAUAUGUUUUAAGAGUUUAAGUCUGAGGUAAAGGCCUGGAAUCUGGUGACUGGUGUUGAACACUUUGGCGACGCUCAAAUGAAAGAUGUGAUGAAGAUGGUGUAUUGAUGAACAUCUAUUAGAGUAAUUGAUACCUGCAUCAUGUAAUAUGUUUUAAGAGUUUAAGUCUGAGGUAAAGGCCUGGAAUCUGGUGACUGGUGUUGGAACACUUUGGUGAUGCUCAAAUCAAAGAUGUGAUGAAGAUGGUGUACUGAUGAGCAUCUAUUAGAGUAAUCGAUACAUGUUCUGGAUCAUGUAAUAUGUUUAGGAGUUUAAGUUUGAGAUUGAACAUCUUUUCUUUGGGCGCAGACAUAUAUGGAAAUGAAAUUGAGGGCAACGCAAAGAAAGAAGUAGUGCUAGGCGUUAAUUAUGUAUGACAGACAUAUGGAAAUGAAAUUGAG